AUCCAGGGGAAGGGAAGUUGUCAGUAUAUAUGCAGAUAUUUUCCAUUUUAAACUAUAUAUGUAUACACACAGAUGUACUCAAGUCCAAUUUGUGGUGCCUGCACUCAAGAGCACACACAGCCCUAAAAGCCUCAUACAGAAGAACACCACACACAGUAUGCCGGCGCUUUGCAGUUUCCUCUAUAGAACACCACACACAGUAUGCCGGCGCUUUGCAGUUUCCUCUAUAGAACACCACACACAGUAUGCCGUGCUUUGCAGUUUCCUCUAUAGAACACCACACACAGUAUGCCGGCGCUUUGCAGUUUCCUCUAUAGAACACCACACACAGUGUGCCGGCGCUUUGCAGUUUCUUCUAUGAGACUACGCUGCUUUCACUGACACUAAGAAUGUUUCCCUUCAAGGAAGACCGUCUUGGCCUUCUCAGGCUCUCAGCAGAGGAUGAUGACGAUAAUAGCAGCCGUCGUUCACUUUACAUGGUAAAGUGACACAGUACACACUGUUCUAGAUGCUUUUUUUUUUUUUUUUUUUUUUGAGAUGGAGUCUUGCUUUGUUGCCCAGGCUGAAGUGCAGUGGCACGACCUUGGCUCACUGCUACCUCUGCCUCCCGGGUUCAAGCGAUUCUUCUGCCUCAGUCUCCCAAGUAGCUGGGACUACAGGUGUGCACCAACAUGUACCACAGUGCAAAUUCCAGGUUAUCUCUUUAGUAGAGACGGGGUUUCACCAUGUUGGCCAGGCUGGUCUCAAACUCCUGAUCUCAGGUGAUCCACCUGCCUCAGCCUCCCAAAGUGCUGGAAUUACAGGUGUGAGCCACCAUGCCAGACUGCUGCUUUCUAUGUGUAAAGUUAGUCUUCACAGCCAUCUGGUGAAGACUGUAGUAUUAUCAUCAUCCCCAUUUUGCAGAUGAGGAAACUAAGGCAGGAGGGCUUAAAUAACUUGCUCAGAUUUGUACCAUAAUAAAAAGGCAGAACUGGGACACAAACUCAUGCGCUUUGCCUCCUGAGCAUGUCUUUGAGCCACAGAGUCAGACAUAUUUGCCUAGCAGUGCUAUAAGAAAAGCUAGGCAGAGACAGGAACAGCGGAGCACCGGCCACCAGAUCCAGAACCUUAACAUUCUUUUCCCUAUGACAGGCUUCAUCCCUCCACCCCUCAUCUUCGGGGCCGGCAUCGACUCCACCUGCCUGUUCUGGAGCACGUUCUGUGGGGAGCGAGGCGCCUGCGUCCUCUAUGACAAUGUGGUCUACAGAUACCUAUAUGUCAGCAUCGCCAUCGCGCUCAAAUCCUUCGCCUUCAUCCUGUACACCACCACGUGGCAGUGCCUGAGGAAAAACUAUAAACGCUACAUCAAAAACCACGAGGGCGGGCUGAGCACCAGUGAGUUCUUUGCCUCUACUCUGACCCUAGACAACCUGGGGAGGGACCCUGUGCCCGCAAACCAGACACAUAGGACAAAAUUUAUCUAUAACCUGGAAGACCAUGAGUGGUGUGAAAACAUGGAGUCCGUUUUAUAGUGACGAAAGGAGGGCUGAACUCUGUAUUAGUAAUCCAAGGGUCAUUUUUUCUUAAAAAAAGAAAAAAAGGUUUCCAAAAAAAAACCAAAACUCAGUACACACACAGAGGCACAGAUGCACACACACACAGACAGACACACCGACUUUGUCCUUUUUCUCAACAUCAGAGCCAGACAGCAUUCAGAAUAAGGAGAGAAUGACAUCGUGCGGCGAGGUCCUGGAGGCCACUCGCGCGGCUGGGCCACAGAGUCUACUUUGAAGGCACCUCAUGGUUUUCAGGAUGCUGACAGCUGCAAGCAACAGGCACUGCCAAAUUCAGGGAACAGUGGUGGCCAGCUUGGAGGAUGGACAUUUCUGGAUAUACAUACACAUACAAAACAGAAAACAUUUUUUAAAAGUUUACUAAAAU
rnacentral:sRNA from 1 species